rnacentral:misc_RNA from 1 species
AAGUCGUAACAAGGUCUCCGUAGGUGAACCUGCGGAGGGAUCAUUAACACGUUCCAUACCAAAAAUCUAUCAACCAAACUGCGAAUUUCCGUACCUGCCUGCUGUCGAAGUGCUUGCGGUGCAUGCUGAGAUCCAGGAUGAAGGUGAGGGGAUGCUUUGGUUCAGCGUUGCGCCUUUCGGGCACAUUAACGCCUGAGUCCUCCUCUCACACGGGUCGAGCAAUGCCAAGUGGCGGCCCUCAACCAGCCGUCAGCCGCCCUCGCUUGUGGCUAGGCCCAACAUAUAUACACUUGGCGGUUUGUCAUCAACCGCCGCGUGCAUAUCCACACGACCCUCUUUCUCGACGCUCGGUCGUAUGACUAGCUCGAGGAGAGUGUAUCAAUCUCUAUUGAUCAUUCUGAAGUUGAUCCUCGCGUUGUUCUCGCUGUGUGUGGGUGUCAUUUCUGAUGCCGCCACAACGGGGAGUUGGCGUUUGAGGUCGCUCGAACGUCCUAUCUGCGAAAGAUAGUGAAAUACAGCA